rnacentral:rRNA from 1 species
UACGUAGGUGGCGAGCGUUGUCCGGAAUUACUGGGUGUAAAGGGCGUGUAGGCGGGGAUGCAAGUCAGAUGUGAAAUACCACGGCUCAACUGUGGGGGUGCAUCUGAAACUGUAUCUCUUGAGUGCUGGAGAGGAAAGCGGAAUUCCUAGUGUAGCGGUGAAAUGCGUAGAUAUUAGGAGGAACACCAGUGGCGAAGGCGGCUUUCUGGACAGUAACUGACGCUGAGGCGCGAAAGCGUGGGGAGCAAACAGG